AGAUGCUCUCUAGAGACCAGGGUCUCAUGCCCUUGAUUCUGAGGGCCCCGGGCUUGCUGGAUGGGGGUUCACCAGGUAUCAUCCCGUUUCUGGUUGGAGCAAGGGACCUUGCCUCGCUAUUGAAAGCGCGCUGCUUUACUUCGAUUGUAGCUCCCCAUAAUCUCCGGAAUGAAGAGCAAGCGGUCCGGGCCGGGUGCGGUGGCUCAUGUCUGUAAUCCCGGCACUUCCGCAGGCCAAGGCAGGAGGAUCGCUGGAGCCCAGCCUGGGCAAAAUAGCAAGACCCCCUGUCUCUACCAAAAAAAAAAAAAAAAAAAAAAAGGCGGGGGUGGGGGGAUGGUUAACAAGCUGGGCAUGGUGGCGCACGCCGGUAGUUCCAGCUACUCGGUAGGCUGAGGUGGGAGGAUGGCUUGAGCCCAGGAUGUCCAGGCUGUGGUGAGCCAUGAUCACGCCACAGCACUCCAGCCUGGGCAACAGAGCGAGACCCUGU
rnacentral:lncRNA from 1 species